GACGAACGCUGGCGGCGUGCUUAACACAUGCAAGUCGAACGGAAAGGCCCUGCUUUUGUGGGGUGCUCGAGUGGCGAACGGGUGAGUAACACGUGAGUAACCUGCCCUUGACUUUGGGAUAACUUCAGGAAACUGGGGCUAAUACCGGAUAGGAGCUCCUGCUGCAUGGUGGGGGUUGGAAAGUUUCGGCGGUUGGGGAUGGACCCGCGGCUUAUCAGCUUGUUGGUGGGGUAGUGGCUUACCAAGGCUUUGACGGGUAGCCGGCCUGAGAGGGUGACCGGCCACAUUGGGACUGAGGUACGGCCCAGACUCCUACGGGAGGCAGCAGUGGGGAAUAUUGCACAAUGGGCGGAAGCCUGAUGCAGCAACGCCGCGUGCGGGAUGACGGCCUUCGGGUUGUAAACCGCUUUCGCCUGUGACGAAGCGUGAGUGACGGUAAUGGGUAAAGAAGCACCGGCUAACUACGUG
rnacentral:rRNA from 1 species